rnacentral:tRNA from 1 species
CGGCGUGUAGUCGAGCCCGUUGCUGGCGAUCGAAAUCUGCCUGGCCGCGAGCCGGCGCCGGACCUCGGCCGGUUCGAUGCCGGCCACGUCGA